UUCAGGGUGAGGUUUUCGGGUUCUGCCGUUUUUCUCAUAAUAGUGAUGAUAAUCAAACCCUAUAUGUGACUGCAAUGCAAGGCCUGCGUGGAAUCAUUGUCUCUUGGAACACUAUAACAGAUUAUGGGCAGGCGAUUGGGACCAAGGAUUCUUGGUAGGGCUGAUGAUUCUAUGGUUGUUGAUGCUAGAAGAUGCUUAUUAUGAAGACCAGGUGGAAAUGGUGAUCGAGAAGAUGCUUCAUUAAGUACACACUUGGUCGGAUAGGGGUAUGUUUUUAAAUUUGGUU